GGCCCCGUCAGCUGUCCUGCUGUCCUAGGAGGAGGAAGGCACAAUGCGGACUGCGCUGCUAGGCACUGUCUUACUGCCCCACACGCAAGUGGCCCUCAGGGGGAAGGCAGAGCUUGAAGACAGACUCCGAGCCCCUUUCUCUCUGAGACACAAGGGGUUAGUGCCAGGGAUCCAAUUACUUGCAGGACCCACAAAAGCGUUCCAUUUCGGGAGGAAAAAACUAACUUUUCGAGUGGAGGAAGUUGUUUUCAUUUUGAAUCCAGCCCGGAUUAUAUGUGUCUUUAUACCAAUGCAGCUUUGGAGUUUUUGUUUGUUGGUUUGUUUUUUGUUUUACGGCAGAAUGGGCCACAGAGGUAGCAGGAAAGUCACACAGCAGUCCUGAUCAGACGGAUGUGGUUUCAAAGCUGGCCCCCCGGUUUAGGACCCUGUGCUCCAGGAAAAUGCAAGUCCCCUCUCAGCUCCUGCUUCCUCACCCACAGGGUGGGGGGAUGUUGAGAUCCACCUAAUGGCCAGGAGCAAAGCUUCAGUGGGGUAAGUAGGUACCAGCACCCAGCCCCGUGCUGCACGCAGCAGACCCUGGAUCAAGCCAUAGUCUGACAAAUUCUGGUCCUCAUGGCCCCUGAGGCGUCAUCCCACAUCAGAAGCUGUUGACACCGGAGGAGGUGGACGCGGAGAGCCGAUGGCAGCAAACAGCAUGGCUUCUAGGAAAUCAAGAAAGCUACAAGGAAGUGGCCAUGCUUUGUUUGCUGUUGGGCUUUUCUUUCCAUUUGCUAUCAAUGCAGAGGAAUCAAUCCAGGCAUCCUGGACGGGGCUUCAUCUAAUGAGUCUCAGAAACUCCCCAGGCUGCGGGGCAGGACAAGGAGAGGCGGGCAGAAGGGAGGAAGACUGGGAGGGGGCAGCCUCUGCGGACAUGCCUGGGACUCCGGCCCCAGGGGCUCCUCUCCGCGCCCUGGAGGAAGGAGCAGGCUCCGGUGGGUGUCAGGGUGUCAAAGGCAGCUCAGUUCUGCUCCUCGCAGGCCUCAGCUCAGCGCCCACCAGGCCAGUCAGGGUUGCCCCAGGGAGAAGCUGCUCCUUGUCGUGCCAACAAGCUACGGGCGCUAGGGGAGAAGGCGAAGGGCCCUCCUGGCCGUCCACCCGCCCGGAGGACUAAGGAAGGGGCGGGAAGCGCCUCCACCGGGAAGCAAUUUGCAGCCUCGGCUUCAGGUUUCAAAGCACCUGCCGUGCGGAAGGCUGAUCCCACCUGCCUCGCUUCUAGAACAGGCCAAGUCGCGCGCGGCCCGCAGGGCCAGUGUUGGGGACCAGAGAAGAGCAGCCGGAGCGUCUAGCAGGACAGCAGCCAUGGUGGCAGGCGAAGCAGGGAAGUUUCUGGAACCCCCAUGAAAACAGCGCCUCUUCGCCCGGCAGAGGAGAGAGGAGCUGCACGUGCGGAGAGGAAAGCAGCAGUGGAGCAGACAGAUUCACCAUUGAGAAAAAUUCAUCAUUUUCUCUCACCGCCUUUGGAUGAAAGAAGAGCCAUUUCCACCACAAGAAAAAAGUAGACGGGAUUCUUAGAAGAAAAGCCAUUGUGAAUAAGAAGCCUCUGGCGCCUGGCAGCUGGGUGCCCGAGGGCUCCAGAGCUGUGUCGCGCGCUUGUUUCUCUGCCUUCAGUGCUGAGUCUGGAAGACCUUACCAGGCUCUGCAGAGGACCUGCCUCCGGGAAUCGCUGACAGAGGGACCCGUGCAGGACACCGAGGGCGGGACAAGGGACACGGAGCAGGCAAGGCCACCCCUGGGGGCCCUUUGGACGACUCCACCCAGCGCUGUGGAUCUUGUCCUGUAGAAAGAAGACCUUAACCGAAGUGCCAGCCUGUCUCCAGUACCCUCACAAUUCCACUGGAUGCUCAUCUGAGGGCAACCUGGUCCCUACUCGGUCUGGCAAGAGUAAACAUGUCCUAGCAUGCUGGCUACACCUGGUUUAGCCUCUUCCUGGAUCCUUCUGCUCCACCACCAUGAUCCUGGCCACCCCCUCCCCCACCCCCUCCGGCUAUUCAUGGGUCAGAGCCCCUCCUGCGGAGCCCUCCCCAACACCACAAGCCCGGACAUCUGGGUAUCCUCCCAUCAUUCGACCCUCCUCAGCUUCAUUUAGUUUUCAGCCAAGCAUUAGCACCCACACACCUGCGCAGACACAUGUUUGUUGUGUCUCCUGCCACCCACAGAUACUUGGAGCAGAGUCAGCUCCCCAGGAGUUGAGUGCCCAGCUUGCACAGUCUGGCUGCACUGGGGGCUCAGCCACCUCUUGUUGAGUUAUUAAAGCAGCAAGUUUGUGACGGGGUGGUGUCCCCUGACUCAGCUGCUGGAGUCAGCCAAGAGCACCAGAUGGGGUGUAGAUACGCUGCUGGGAAGCGCACGAUUUCAGUUAGUUUGAGCUUGUGAAAUGUUUAUCAGACUCAAGAGCGACUUCAAGGACCCUUAGGUGUCAAGGAUUCCCCCUGGAAUCCACCGGCCUACUUGAGCCUUAAAGAAUUCUGCACAGCCAGGAAGCCUCCAGGGCAAAGGGAUCUUAGCAUCAUUGCCAUCAGAAUUCAGACCCCAGAUGGAUUCUUCCAGAAAGAGUUGAGGUGCUGAUUUGGAAGCUGUCUUCCCAUUCCCCGAUUCCUGGACAUCUCCCCCCAAAAUCUUAACCCUAGGGCUGGGCUGACCAAUAUAGAGUCCAGUCACAUGUGCCAUUGAACAUCUGAAAUGUUGCCAAUGCAUCUGGAUUUUCAUUUUACUUAAUUUAAAAACAGAAAGCUGUGUAGCUAUUUAUUCCACUAAACACAAGUUUAUUGCUUUGGUAGGACUAAAUUUCACUCUAGCUGUUGAAAAAUGUAGCAUCCAAACAGAGAGGUGUAACAUGCACACCAGCUCUUUAAAGGCAAUACAAAUUUUUAUACGGAUUAGCUGUGGAAAUGAUAAUAUUUUGGACAUAAUGGUUUAAGUGAAAGGUUAUUAAAUGAAUGUUUCUUUUUAAUUUUUUCAGUGCAGAUACUAGAAAAUACAAACUUUUAGAUCGGUUCUCUAUUUCCAUUGAAAAGACAUGUCCUUCAUUACAAGGGGGUUCCACUGAACGGUGCGGGUCUAGAGUCUAAACAAACUGCCCUGACCUUGGCCUCCAAGCAUCUGGGGCUCCAUCUUUCUACACUUGUCUCAGGCUAUUUGCAGGGGGCCUAGCCCUCUCUGACUCUCUAAACUCUGCCUUCCCCCCAGGAAACUCCCUUGCCCGGCCCCUCCUGCCUGCACCGUUGUCUGCCUCUAACUCCUGAGCACCUACUGUUUACACCAGCCAUAAACAUUAGCUCCAGAGAGCUUAUUGUCUCUCCACCCAAUUUUUACAUUAAAGGUGAUAAUCCUGUGUUUCUCUCUUAGCUCAGUGCCUGGCAUAUAAGUAAUGUUAGUCGAUGAUUUUGAUCAUGUUAAUUACCUCUUGGUGUAGUGCGGCAACGUCAUUUUCCCA